rnacentral:rRNA from 1 species
CCCUUAGAUGUUCUGGGCCGCACGCGCGCUACAAUGAUGAAUUCAACGAGUUUAUAACCUUGGUUGAAAAGCCUGGGUAAUCUUUUGAACUUUCGUCGUGAUGGGGCUAGACCCUUGCAAUUAUUGGUCUCCAACGAGGAAUUCCUAGUAAACGCAAGUCAUCAGCUUGCAUUGAUUACGUCCCUGCCCUUUGUACACACCGCCCGUCGCACCUACCGAUUGAAUGGUCCGGUGAAAUCUUCGGAUUGAGACUUUGAUUUCUUCACGGAAAACGCUGUUUUAAAAAGUUGAUUAAACCUUAUCAUUUAGAGGAAGGAGAAGUCGUAACA